CGGAGGAAAAGAAACUAACAAGGAUUCCCCUAGUAACGGCGAGUGAAGCGGGAAGAGCUCAAAUUUGAAAUCUGGUGGCCUCAGGUCAUCCGAGUUGUAAUCUAUAGAAGUGUUUUCCGUGCUGGCUCAUGUACAAGUCCCUUGGAACAGGGCGUCAUAGAGGGUGAGAAUCCCGUCCUUGACAUGAACUACCAGUGCUCUGUGAUACAUUUUCAACGAGUCGAGUUGUUUGGGAAUGCAGCUCAAAAUGGGUGGUAAAUUCCAUCUAAAGCUAAAUAUUGGCGAGAGACCGAUAGCGAACAAGUACCGUGAGGGAAAGAUGAAAAGCACUUUGGAAAGAGAGUUAAACAGUAUGUGAAAUUGUUGAAAGGGAAACGAUUGAAGUCAGUCGUGCUCUUUGGAUUCAGCCGGUUCUGCCGGUGUACUUCCUUUGAGUGGGGUCAACAUCAGUUUUGAUCGCUGGAUAAAGGCUGGAGGAACGUAGUACCCUCGGGUAAACUUAUAGCCUCCUGUCACAUACAGUGGUUGGGACUGAGGAACGCAGCACGCCUUUAUGGCCGGGAUUCGUCCACGUACGUGCUUAGGAUGUGACAAAAAUGGC
rnacentral:rRNA from 1 species